AGUGGCAUCGACGACGACGACGACGGCGGCAGAGAAACGGUCGUCGUUGUCGUUGUCGUUGCCUCCG
rnacentral:pre_miRNA from 1 species